GUGGGGUUGGUUGGUGUUUUGCAUAGAGACAUUGUGUGGCUAAACUGCAGCUGCUAUAAAAGUGCCAGUGUCCCUGUGCCAUAUUAAUGAUCUGUAUGUGUCACAGUGCAUAGAUAGAGACAUGUCUUAUCCCACUUAUCUACUGCUGCUGCUGCUACUGGGGAUCCUCCUGAUCUUUAGCCAAGGUUCCUAUGGGCAGAUUGUACUGACUCAGUCUCCAGAUUAUGUCUCUGUGUCACCAGGAGAAACUCUCACCAUCACAUGUAAAGCCAGUAGGAGCACCAGUUACAUAGCCUGGUACCAACAAAAAUCAGGGCAGGUACCAAAGCCGCUGAUCUAUUUGGCAAGAACUCGACACACAGGGUCCCCAGAGCGGAUCAGCGGCAGUGGGACUGGAAAUGAUUUCACUCUUACAAUCAGCAGAAUGGAAGCAGAAGAUGCAGCAGAUUAUUACUGUCAGUAUCAUGGUAAUCCCCCUCUCACACAGUGAUACAGAGCUGAACAAAAACCUCCUUCCUCUUUCUAUAGAAGCUUCAGUCACACAUAUAACAUGGGUCAUACUGAGAUAUCAGACUUCUUACUCUGCUGCCCUCCUGGCUAAGGGGUUGAUGGUAAUUAUUGAGAAACCAAUUUAUUUUGCCUCAUGUUUGAGCCCCUGUGGGCUCUGAGAGCCCCCUGAUUAAUUUCUCUUCAAUAGUAAAGAUGGGGAAGUAUUGAGCAGUGAAUGGGUUUCAACAUUUACACUUAGAGGCACAUUUAUCAAAAGUGAAAUUUCGAAUUCGAAAUUUCGAAUUAAUUUCGAAUUCAAAUAGUUGAAUUUGAAUUUUUAAACGGCAAGAGUUUAAUAAAUCUCAAAAUUCGAAUCUGAAUUAAAAUUCAAAUCGAGUUUGCAUAAUUCACAACUCCAAUUUGAGUGUUUUGACCAUUAAAAAAAUUAGAAAAUUAGAAUUUUCGAUUCGACCCUUAAUAAAUCUGCCCGUUAUACUUAUUUACUAAACAUCCCUGUGCUUCCCCCAGGGUCUUUGCAAUGCCAGUUAAGUGCAAUCAAAGCACAUUGUAAACUUUGAUUAAAUAUUUCUUCAUAAGGGAAAUAUUGUAAAAUCAAAUAAACUGCCCAACUUUGACUGUUAGUAAUUUGGCCCUACAUUGGCUGGUACUG